AUUGAACGCUGGCGGCAGGCCUAACACAUGCAAGUCGAGCGGCAGCGGGAAAGUAGCUUGCUACUUUUGCCGGCGAGCGGCGGACGGGUGAGUAAUGUCUGGGGAUCUGCCCAGUCGAGGGGGAUAACUACUGGAAACGGUAGCUAAUACCGCAUACGCCCUACGGGGGAAAGCAGGGGACCUUCGGGCCUUGCGCGAUUGGAUGAACCCAGGUGGGAUUAGCUAGUUGGUGAGGUAAUGGCUCACCAAGGCGACGAUCCCUAGCUGGUCUGAGAGGAUGAUCAGCCACACUGGAACUGAGACACGGUCCAGACUCCUACGGGAGGCAGCAGUGGGGAAUAUUGCACAAUGGGGGAAACCCUGAUGCAGCCAUGCCGCGUGUGUGAAGAAGGCCUUCGGGUUGUAAAGCACCUUCAGCGAGGAGGAAAGGUUGGUAGCUAAUAACUGCCAGCAGUGACGUUACUCGCAGAGGAAGCACCGGCUAACUCCGUGCCAGCCGCCGCUGUAACAC
rnacentral:rRNA from 1 species